rnacentral:pre_miRNA from 1 species
UAUUAUAAGAUUCAUCAAUUUGUAUCGUUAUAAACUGACGUAGCUGAUAGGAUAACCGAACAAUGACACGUGACAUGCCACAUGUACCUCAUAUUGACGUCUAGUGAUCAAUUUUUAACAGUAGAAAUGAAAAAAAUCUUAAUA